AUGGAGUCCCUGUCCCAGCUUCUCUGCGGGUUCCUGAUACUCUUGGUCACAGGGGGGGAAAUUGUGCUGACUCAGUCUCCAGCCUCAGUGUCUGUGACCCCAGGAGAGAGAGUCACCAUCAGCUGCAAGGCCAGUCAGAGUCUCAAACACAGCAGUGGAAACAUUCUUCUACACUGGUUCCAACAGAAACCUGGACAGUCUACUCAGAGCCUCAUUUACUAUGUUUCACACCUGCACUCAGGAGUCCCUGCCAGGUUCAGUGGCAGUGGUGCUGAGAAGGACUUCACCCUCACCAUCAGCAGUGUGGAGGCUGAAGAUGGGGCCUCUUAUUACUGUGCAGCUGCUGGGCUGCCUGCUCAGGUGCAGGGGCUCUGGGGCUGA